rnacentral:rRNA from 1 species
CGCGUAGGCGGAUCGGUCAGUCGGAAGUGAAAGCUCCAGGCUUAACUUGGAAAUUGCUUUCGAUACUGCCGGUCUCGAGUAGAGCAGAGGGAAACGGAAUUCCUGGUGUAACGGUGGAAUGUGUAGAUAUCAGGAGGAACGCCAAUGGCGAAGGCAGUUUCCUGGGCUCUUACUGACGCUGAGGCGCGAAAGCGUGGGGAGCGAACAGGAUUAGAUACCCUGGUAGUCC